UGCAUGUCUAAGUACAAGCCUAAUUAAGGUGAAACCGCGAAUGGCUCAUUAAAUCACACCUAAUAUACUGGAUAUUCUCAGUUACUUGGAUAACUGCGGUAAUUCUGGAGCUAAUACAUGCGAAAAAAUCCCGAACUUACGUGAGGGAUGCUUUUAUUAGAUCAAAACCAAUUUAAAAACUUGGUGACUCUGAAUAACAUUUGCAGAUCGCAUGGCUUUACGCCGGCGACGUAUCCUUCUAAGGUGUGCCCUAUCAACUGUCGACUGUGGCAUAGACGCCCACAGUGGUUUUGACGGGUAACGGGGAAUCAGGGUUCGAUUCCGGAGAGGGAGCCUGAGAAACGGCUACCACUUCUAAGGGAGGCAGCAGGCACGCAAAUUACCCAAUGGUCGAAGACCGAGGUAGUGACGAAAAAUAACGAAGCCGGACUCAUCCGAGGCCCGGUUAUCGGAAUGAGUACACUUUAAAUCCUUUAACGAGGAACAAUUGGAGGGCAAGUCUGGUGCCAGCAGCCGCGGUAAUUCCAGCUCCAAUAGCGUAUAUUAAAGUUGUUGCGGUCAAAAAGCUCGUAGUUGGAUUUCGGUGAGUAAGGAGGGGUUCAUCUUGUUUGAUGUAACUGCUGUCUUGUCUCGCGUUUUUCGACAGAGGUUUCGAUGGUGCCUUUCAAAGGGUGUCUCGGGAUACUGUCGGGUUUACUUUGAAAAAAUUAGAGUGCUCAAAGCAGGCU
rnacentral:rRNA from 1 species